rnacentral:rRNA from 1 species
GACGAACCGUGCGAACGUUUAUUCGGAAUCACUGGCUUAAAGGGGCGUCGAGUAGGCGGGCCGGCCAAGUCAGGGGUGAAAGCCUCCGGCGUCAACCGGAGAAGUGCCUUUGAUACUGGCGGCCUAGAGGGAGGUAGGGGCCUGCGGAACUUCCGGUGGAGCGGUGAAAUGCGUAGAUAUCGGAAGGAACGCCGGUGGCGAAAGCGGCGGGCUGGACCUCUUCUGACGCUGAGGCGCGAAAGCCAGGGGAGCAAACGGG